GAUAUGUAAUAUCGACAUAUUUCAAAUUGGUUAGCUACUUCCUUUAACUAAAAAGAAUCCUUGCUUUUUAAUUUCAAAUUGUUUAACAGAUUCAGACACGUAUAUAAUGAAUACCAGUCAUUUCUCUCCCUCUGGAACUGCUGUUCUCAGCCCCCUCCUAUUCUCAGAUCAAGGGGGAUACAUUGAGAGAAAAUAUAUGAGAGCAGACUAGUUGUGGUCAUCUUCAAACCUUCGGUGCUGAUUUUUCCAUUGCUGGGCAACAAUUCAUCCCAGACUCCACAGUUUAAAGCAACAUUGAUUUACUGGUUCAAAGUUUUGUAAUUAGGAAGCCUGAAGACCAAGUUCACUCCUUGGGGCUUAAAAGGUGAGAUCCAGAUGUUGACCAGACUGAAUUCUAGAGGUGCUGAGGAAGCACCCACUCCCAAGCUCACACAAGUUGGAGUCUGAAACCGAGGUUCUAUUCCACUGCUGGCUGUCAACCAAGGCUACUCUACUCACUGCUCCUACAAGCAGUCCACAUCCUUGCUACAUAGUCCCACCGUCUCCUAAGCUGACAGUGAAUAUUCAUAAGUAGGAUCCCUCUCAUUAUUUGUCUCUCUAUCUUCCCCCAUCUCUGACCUCUGACCAAUUAAGGUUCCUAAUUUAAGGUAAGCAGAAUUGGGACUUUGACUACACUUUCAAUAUUCCACACAACACCCUGAUUAUGGAGGUUUGAGUCUCUAAUGGGAAAGGUAUUCCCAUCCUACUAAACAUAACGUAUGUCUGCACAAGCCAUAAGCUAUGGAGCAACAACUCUAAUCUGCCUGAGGAGGGCUUUAGACCCAAUAGAAGAUGAAAGGAAGCCUAUUUUAAAAAGUGGCAAUGACUAAAGAAUAAUGAUAUAGGAUUUUGAUAGCAUUAAAAAUGUCAAGCCCAUUUAAAAAGGGGGGGACAGGUUGGUCUGUGGAACAUUAUACUAGCAGCAUAUUUAUUAGAGAAAUAAAAUUAUAUUUCUUCAAUGGAAAUUAGUAUUGGAAUAGCCUCACAUAGUGGACAAUCUAACAUAAUGAGUUUUUAUGUGCUAAAUAUUAUUCUUGCCACAUCUUAAUUACUUUAAUACAUAUGAUAACCAUGUGUGAUGGCACAGUCAUCACAGCAAACAAGGGAAGGCCUGGAUUUAAGGCUAACUCUGUCUGGUGUUGAUACUCAUGAUGUACACUGUUAGACAAAAGGCUGAUCUUUGAGUGCUGUGGAAUUUUACUCAUGAUGGCAAGUGAGGAAACAUAUUAAGCCACACACAAAAUGUUUAGUAAAUCUCUGGGUAUCUUCAUUAUCAAAUCAUGUUAUGCCCUAAUAAUUUCCCACUAACUGCUAUGUAGAACAUGUUGUAUUACCUUCUCUUCCUCUCAAGGUUUGCAGCUUCGUUAUAAAUUGACAGGCCUGGAACAGGUCUGCCUAACUAUACAGAGCUGCAAACACUAAUCCACACAGACGUGGAUUAAUAGGAAUGACAGAAUUGGGCUAAUUUUGAGGCAAGAGGGUGCAAAGAACUGUUGCAAAAGCCAUGCCUGCCCUGUUGAGAGGGAGGUUGCCCACUUUGGGCGACUGUUGCCAUUUCUGGAAUGCUGGCUUAGCGGUGUCAGAUCUGAUCCUUCAAAAGAAACCAAAGAUUUGGAUUUUAAUGGAAGAUCUCUCCAGGAUUAUAUGUUGGUAACUAAGCCUUAAAAAGGAACACGCCACAUGGCAAACAAACAAAGAAAUAAAAUUCUAAGAUCAGAUUUAACCCCGAGGCCAUUAGUUUGUGUCUUUUGAUGUUUUCCAAUUCACCAACAUUAAUACUAAGAAUCUAAAUCUCUGUGUGUGGACAGGAAUGGAAGUUGAGAAGAGAGGUAAUGGUUAGAACAACUUAUACUAGCUAUGUUAAAAAGUCCAUUUUAAAUUGGCUUUUAAGAUGAAGGGUCCACUAACUAGUAUAACUGGAAAAGUUGAGAGCUAUUACUAUCCCCAUGUGCUUAAAGGGUAUGACCCAUUUCUUUUCCAACUCACUCCUAUGUUUUCUUGUUGCCUCUCCCCCAGACCUUAAAUGGGAGUCUUUGGGCAGAUGUAUGUCCUCACGUACCUGCCCAAAGGCUGUGGUCAUACAAGACUUUAUCACAUUUCUAGAUGCUCUUAUACAAACUGUGUACAACUCAUUAUCUGUGAUUGGAUUUAAUAUUUGCUAUUGUUUGAUUUAAGCCAAUGAAGGCCAAUCCUGGAUAUGGUGAGAGGUUAAUCCCUCACAGAUGCUAUGUAUGACAAGAAUCAGCUACAAAAAUAAAAACAAAACAAACAGCAACCAAAACAGGGAUGGUGAUGAGAAACGAAGAACACAACAGAGUCCCUAUGGGUCACCCUUUCCAGUUCUAGGACUUCGGUCUGAAAAUUCUUAAUGAGAUAUAUACUUCCAGUCCCCUUCCUUCUGAGGGGCUCCAUGCAUUUCUCCUUUUUAAGAGGCACACCUUCAACUCUGAUUAGCUCUGCUGUCAGACCGGUUAUUUGAACCUCAUUCCCCACUGCCUACAGCCUUCCAUUAUGCUUACUUUACUAGCCAAAGUUCUUGAGCACAGGGAGUAAAAAUCAACCCAAGCAAAAGGGCAUACUCAGAGCAUGCCUGAUAACUCACAGGAUUGGAGCUGUUGAGGGAAGGUGAAAGAACUUGGAAACAGACAGAAUUAAGGAAAGUAAGAGGAUUAACUGUGUCACAUCAUGGAGCCACAUACUCGAGAUGCCACUGACUACAGUAACCCUGGAUGCACUCCCUUUGCCAGAGCCGACAGGACGAUGCUUCUGCCACUGCUGCUGGGCACAGAGCUGUAAAUUAAUUUUAAACUGUCCCUUCAAACAAUGCCUUAUUGGUCCAAAUUGAAAGUUGUUUUGAUAAGACAUCCAGUUGGCCAAGUUUAGGUCUCAUGUCCUUGUACAACUUACUUGACAGAUAGACCAGAAAUUCCCGGCUUUAUAGAUAGAAUUCCUUCAACCUAAGAAUGUACUGAAUAAUGGAUAAUAACAAAUGUCUUUAAUGCUGCUAUUUCAUUAGGUCUCCCAAAAGAGGACAGCUACCACUUCAGCAUAAACAAAUUCAUUCUCAACCCUAAGAGCACUAAAGAACUAGGCUUGUCUUUUCCUUCAAAGGGUAGAAAAUAUACAGUAAUUGAGCACAGUGGCAAUAUUAAAGAACUCAGGCAUUACAGGGUUAAUGGGACAAAAGAACUUCUAGAAUCCCAUUCCAACUUUCAGAAACAAACUUGAAAUGCAUGAAACACUGGAAGCAUGUUUCUGGUCUCAAAUUCUCUCCCCUUCACUGUUUGGAUGUUUUAAGUGCCAAGGGUUCAUAAAAAUUUGUAAUAUCCCAAGUCUGAUUCAAAGGACCAGUAAAACCUCAUGAGCAUGUCCCUUUCUAGACACUGUAGGCCUACCCAUUCCUGGCCACCUGGCCGGAGAGUUAAAGGCACUGUAUGUCACAAAGGAUUGAGGGUUACAUCUACAGUUGACUACUUGGUUUCUCUCUGGGGCUCACACCAUGUAGACUUAAGUGUUUCUGACUGCUUAUGUACAUUGGAGAUGUUCAUGAAUCCCUUCCUCCAAAGCACAGUGUCACCGGGGGUCAGGGCUGCCCCUGCUUGUCAUUGGCUGACUUCAUUCAGUUCUUCACUGGCUGCUUUUCCAUAUGCUAUUGAUUCUCAAAUUUGAACAUGCAUUGAAAUCUCUGUGGAGACUUCUUGAAACAGAUCAGUGACCCACCUCAUGUGCUGGCUCAGUUGGACCUUGGGAAGAGCCUAAUACACUGGAUGUCUAGGAAGUUCCCAGGGCAAAUGUAUGCAUAUUCGUGUGUAAUAUAUAGGUCCUAUUGCAUAAUAUAUAAAUAUAUUGGAUAGUAUUCUACAAUAACAUAUUAUAUAAUCUAUAUAAUAUUACACACACACACACACACACACACACACACACACAGUUUUUAGGUUCAUGCAGUUCAUGUGCAUCUCUCUUCAGAAACCAGGUCUGUGCUCUAUUUAUCUGCUGUUAGGAAAGGCUGUAUCUUAGGCCCUCAUAAAGCUCUGUCUCUGCAUCUGAAAAGUUUGGUUUUCAGUUACUGUUUCCAGGCAAACACUCUUUUCCAGAAACCAAAAGAAACACCCAUUAUAGCUAGGCUGUGCAGUAUCCCUCAAAGACCCAAAUGUUAACCAGGCUUGCUCACAGCUUGGCCCUACUGAGAAGUGAUGCAACCUUUAGAAGAUGAAACCUAACUAGAGGUUUUAGCUUAUUUCAGCCAUGCCCUUGAAGGGGAUUGUGGGACUCUAGUCUCUUUUUCUCUUUUUUGUCAUCCUUGGCUAUGCAUUAGGCAAUUUUUCUCUGUCACAUGUCCCAGUUGUGUAAGACUGUCUUAAGUCCAAAGCAACAGGGCCAACCAAUACUGACUGAAACCUCCAAAGCUAUGAAGCUCUGAGCCAACAUAUACCUUUCAUCUUUGUAAGCUGAUUAUCCCAGGUAUUUGUUGUAGAAACAGGAACAGAACAGUCUUUGCUGUGGUUCUUACCAUAACUUAAUUGUGAACCUUAUAUUGGCUGCUUUUGUAUUCUUAUAAUACAGUGUGUUCCUAUUCAUUACCCAACUCAACAUUAUCCAGAUAUUCCUAUGUGAUUCUAAACAAUAAAGAUAUUCUUCUGUUUUUUUUUCC